UAGAGAGGGCAAGAGUGUCAUUGAUCCAG
rnacentral:piRNA from 1 species